rnacentral:misc_RNA from 1 species
CAAUAUUACUACUUCUAAUACCACCGUCACUUCCACCACGUCUACUUUAUCUACCACCACGAACACUGCUGCUGCUACUACUGCUACUAUUACUACUUCUACUAUUAGCUGCAGCACCACCAUCACCAUACCCCCCCCCACUACCGUCACCAUACCAUCACCACCACCACUUCCGCCAUCACAGCUACAUCCUACCACCGAAACUGUCUAACAUAAUAUCGACGCUGUUAGCUAUCUUUACAUUUACCUGAACAGGUAACUUACAAUUAAAUCAGUUUUGCUGAAGAGAGCAAGGAUGGAUCUUUUGUUCUCGGUGUUAUGGUUUCUAACCACAGCUACAUGCAUUACAUCUGUUACAGGCAUGUUAACCACCAAAUCUCACGUACAUAUUUUGCCGACUGCAUUUAUUGAUGUCCAUACAACAGAUACCAUGGGAAUUGCAGCAUUGUCUGAUCACCUCAGCAGCGAAAGCUCGAACCGCGAUAAAGAAUACGCGAAAAAUUAUUUCCGAAAAAUAUUGAUUAGUGAUGUUGAGACAGCCACACCAAACGUCAGUUCUAGAUUUCGAAAAACUCAAUCGAAGCGAAUCGUUUUUCCCGCCGAUCCUCCAAUCGAAACAUUUCGCAGUAUUGUAGAGGCCGGGACGUCUCUGAGACGCAACAGAGUGAAACGUGGUACGCAACAGCCAAGGAUAAAGUCUGCUGCAAAUCCGGCGAUGUCUAAAAGAGAUAGAUUUACUGCCGGUGAAAUCAACGGAAUCAAUGUUAGACCGUGGACAAGGAUUAUUUAUCCAAGUGUUAAUCCAAUUCAAAGAUUCUCAGAAUCUGGCUGGUUAAUUCCUUACAAAGAUCACAAAAUAAAUUCAGGAAGAACAGAAUCAAAAAGAGAAAAAGUUGUACUUGAUGUAAAACCUUCAGGAAUAUUUCCUGGUGAUAAUAUUCAAAGAACUUUUCCAAUAUCUGAUGUAGAUAAAAGGAAUCGAAAGAACAGUUGGUUGAGUGAGAAUUCGAUAAGGAUUUCUUUGUACUCUGAGCCUGAACCAGAGCCUUCAGCUACUGAACGAAGAAGGUUACAACCUGCAGCUGAGCAAAGAAAUACAAAUCCCAAAUUAGAACUAAGGAGUCCUUACACGAAACCUGAAGGAAAAAUUGCAAUCCCAGAGUUACAGCAAAAAUAUGCAAAUCAUGAGACAAGACAAAAAAAUCUACACUCCGAGCCUCAACGAAAAUAUCCAUAUCAUGAGCCUGAAAGAAGGAUCUUGCGUCCUGAGCCUGCGCGAAGAAAUCCAUUUUCUAAGCCCGAACGAAAAAAUCCAUUUUCUGAGCCUGAAAGAAGGAUCUUGCGUCCUGAGCCUGAGCGAAGAAAUCCAUUUUCUGAGCCUCGGCUAAAGAAUUCCCAACCUGAGCCUGAAAGAAGGAACUCUCGUCCUGAGCCUGAACAAAAUAAUCCAUUUUCUGAACCUGAAAGAAGGAGCUCUCGUCCUGAGCCUGAACAAAAAAUCCAUUUUCUGAACCUGAAAGAAGGAACUCUCGUCCUGAGCCUGAGCAAAGGAAUCCAUUUUCUGAGCCUAAGCGAAAGAAUUCACAUCCUGAGCCUGAAAGAAGGAACUCUCGUCCUGAGCCUGAAGAAGGAACUCUCGUCCUGAUCCUGAGCAAAGGAAUCCAUUUUCUGAGCCUGAAAGAAGAAAUCCGCAUUCUGAGCCUGAACGAAAGAAUCCGUUUGCUGAGAUUAAACAAAGGAAUCCAUUUUCUGAGUCUGGGCCCCCACAUUCAAUCCCUGAAAAUAAGCAGAGAAAUCUUCGCCCUGAGCCUGAACGAAGAAAUCCUUAUCCGGAAUCUGAGCAACGACAAUCAAACCCUGAACCCGAACGAAAAAUAUCCAGAGCUGAAAUAUUUACCAAACUACACUCUGUACCUUCAAGAAGCAACCACAGAACAGGACCAGAACAAACUCCUCAAACUAAAACUAAAUUGAGGGCAUCGAGAAAUAGUUUCUGGAACGAGAAAAUUCCUGAACAAGGCAGAAUAACAGAGAGCAUCACAGUUCCUCUACCGAAACUAAAAAGUGGCUUCAGCGAUCAAAUCAAAGAAUUCGAUUGGAAAGCUCCGGUAGUUUGGCCUCGGUUGAAAAUAAAUCCAAGUCAUUCAUUCAAUAGGAAUAACCAUGGACCGUUUCCUUGGUGGCAGGAACGCGUACAGCAGUCGAUGUUGUCAACAGUAAAGCCCUUCACACAGAGACAGAGGUCAGACAUUCGACCCUCGACUGACGAUUCUUCCCGUAAUUUCCGGCAACCAGCUCGAAAUAAAAUAGCUCAAAGAACAUCGAACCUAAGGGCAGAAAGGUGUGCCAUGCUUGUGGCAAGAGGUGACUGCAACUUUUAUAGGUGUUUUGAUGAAACGCAUACCUGUCCUGCUGACCAAAACUUUGCUUUUAAUGUUGGUAAUCACUUGUGUCGCCAGGUGGAGUCAUUC